UCCAAUUCCCUCAAAAAAAAAAACAAAAAAAAACACUAGUCCAAUCUAAACACAAAACUCCACCGUGUGCCUUCCUUCUCCUUCCUCUCCUACUCUUCAAACACCACCGCAAAAUCGAAAAUCUACCUCAAUCUGUAGCUUUCUAAAUUCCCUCUCACUGUUCAAUCCCUAGAUUUCUAGGGUUUCAGAUCUAUAUUCCCUUUCACCAUUCAAUCCCUAGCUUUUUAGGGUUUUCGAUCUAUUCCUCUUCCUCGUGUUUUUUCUUUGACCAAAAUUAAUGGCUUCAAUCCGAAAGACCCUAUCUCCCCGACCUUCUUAGUGGCGUUAUAGUUUCAGAGAUUAUCUAGCGGCGUUGGUGGCUACGAUAAGGGUUUCAUGGUUGAUCAUGUAAGUUUUAGCUUAAGCAUGAACACUGAGAAGGAAUUAACAGAUUGUAGAUCUGAAUUUAUUGAAGGAUUUUUUCUGGUUUGUGGUUCUAGGUUUGUCUGUUCUUUUUUCUUCUAGAUUGUUUUGUUUGUUUUUGUUGUUGUGGCUGAAUUUUUUAGGUUAAUUUGGUUAUGAGAUAUCGAUUGUUUGGCAAUGAGAUUCUGGCUGAAUUUUUGUGGCUCAAUUUAAUGUUAGGAAGAAGCAUUUUAAUGUUUUAACUCACUGUUAUGCAGGUAUUUUGGUGGGGUUUUUGAAAUCAAGUCAUGUGUGAAUCCACUGAGAUAAGGGAAAACAUCUUCUAGAGUUCUAGCAAACCAUAUUUUGUCAAUCUCAAGUCCUUUUUCAACACCAAAGUAAGCUUAGUUCUUGUGGUUAAAUAAUGUACAUUCCUUUUGUUUGUUUUUUCAAAGAAGGUGCUUGAUGAAAUAUCUACUUAUAAAACUUUGUUUAGGCUAAGCUAUGUUUAUUCUCUAUGAAUUCGAACUUCUAUGUAUCAUGUAAGUAGUGGUAAAGUAUUUCUUUUAAUGUUAAAUUAAAUUAAACUCUGCCUCAAUAUUUUAUUCCUUUGUUGAUAUUGUUAUUUCCCUGCCAUGAGUUCCAACAAUAUAUCUGCCUCACGACCUUCUUGAGAAAUAACAAAAAGAGCACUAAGAUUGCAUAUGUUAUAUGUUACCUAUGAGAAUUCAGAUAGAGCAGACACAACACUCUCAAAAGAAAGAAAUAAUUUUAGUUGGUUAUCAUAUACAUAUACUUAUAUGAUUCCUAAUUCCUAAUGUUAUGGUGCUGCUAUCCGUGUUUUAGCUUGUGGGGAGAUGNNNNNNNNNNNUGGGAUUCUUUCUUUGCGAAACAAGUUUUUUAUUGCUUCAGUCGCAACAGAUUGCUACUUUCUUUGGACGUGGUUUUGCUAUCCAGUUUCAAUUAGGUGCUGCUGUGAUCUGUUGUGUGUUUUGGUAUUGCUAUCCGGGUUGGUUUGUCGAGUAAUUGGAUGUCUAUGACAGUAUUCUUGGAUGCUCUACUAUUUUGUAUUUGAGUUCAAGUUCCCCUUGGUUUAAUUUGGUUUUAUGCUAUUUUGUAUUUUGUGUGGAUGCCAUUAGCUUCUGUUUCUCUCUGGUGUGCGCCCUUUGUGGCCUUGUGNNNNNNNNNNNNNNNNNNNNNNNNNNNNNNNNNNNNNNNNNNNNNGGGAUUGGUUUUAGCGAUGUGCUCCCUUCCCCCUUACAAUGCUAUACAACCUUGGUUUUAGCGAUCAAUAAAAUUUAUAGUUUAAAGAAAAAAUGGUAGAUUGGCAAUUGUAUUUUAACAUAUACUAGUUUAUUGUUCUUGUGAAUAUGAUCGUUUGUUGUUCUUGUAUAGUUAAGAAUAAGAGCAAAUGCAUCAAUUAUUGGAGAACUCAAUUCAAUUGGGUUUGANNNNNNNNNNNNNNNNNNNNNNNNNNNNAAAUAGUUUAUAAGUAGGUUUGUGGUAGUAUGCUAUCUUUGAUUGAUGUAGUUUUGGGUCCUCAUUAUGUUUUUGUUCAGCUAUUGAUUAAUUAAGUUGGUGUAGCAGGUUUUGCAUCGGAGAAAUACGAUGAAAAGGAAUUACGAUCAAAGAAAGGUUGGAAUUGAUAAUGAUCAUUUAAAGAAAGUAACAUAAGGCAUGUUGUAGGUGAUUCUUCGUAUGAUUAAGUAGCCAAGAUUGUGGGGGCAUUGAAAGGAAAUUUACUAUUUUUACAGUUUGCUCAAUUUUAGUUGUAUUUGUAGUUUUGAGAAAAUAUUGUCUUAGUUUGUAUUAAAAAGUCAUGGGAGCAUUAACCAUGACUUUAGGUGUUUUAUAGUUUUUUAUUUGAAUAAGUCUUCAGGUGUUUUAUAGUAGCAGUACAUGUUUGCUANNNN
rnacentral:lncRNA from 1 species